AGGACCUCCUGACCUAGAACCAUGCCCGGCGCAGGGAGAACAACGAGCUUACGGACCGGGUGCGGGGGCUGCUGUGCGAGAAAGCCUACCUGCUGGCCCGGGAGCGUUCGCCGGCCCACCUGGUGGCUUUCCCUGGACGUUUAACGGCGACUCCGCCCGGCCUCCCGACUUUUUGAUGCAGGCGUUCUCUUACAUGACUUUCUUCGAGGCUAGAUUCUCGAAAGACAUCCUGAAGGUGGCUUUCUUAAUUAGCUGCCUCACCGGCUGGCGGAGCAGUUCGUAGUCGCCUACAUCGAGAGGGAGAGCCCCGUCCUGGCUCAGUACUGGGGCUUCGUGGACGCGCUGUAGCGGGUCUUCGCCGUCGUGGGUAGGAAACAGUCGGGCCGGAUCCCCGGUGUCUGGGGAGCGGCUGCCGGCCGGGCCCGCGCGAGCCGCUUCACUCCUACAAGCCCGGCUCACUAGUUCCAAGCUGCUGGACUUUGACCCUCGCUGGGAAGCUUGAUCGCCGCCUGUUCUCGCCAAUCUCUAUGCCUUUGCACUGCCCAGCAACCCGGUCACUGCCCAGGACCUGUUAAAAGUUGAAUGGACCUCCCAGAAUCACGCCGCUGCCACCGCCGUUUCUAGAGACGGCUUUUGGCCACCUUUGAGAAUCAGGGUCAAACUUGGAAGGGCCUGCAUUUGUCACACUUCCUCGGACACUAAUUUGGAUAGUUCAGGCCCAGAGACGGCUUCCCGGGUUAGUGUGCCUGACAACACUGAAGAAAAAUUGUGACAUUUUCCUUCCCCAGAAUUACUUCGUUUUAUACAUUUCACUUCUCUUCUGAAAUCACAGCAAUGCCAGUUUGCGCCUUUUGGUCUGAGGAACGCAGGCCCUGGCCACUACCAGGAAAAAAACCUUCUGGAUUUCAGCUUUGGCAAGCUUCCUCUGUUUCUGAGACACCUCCAUCACCUGGGUUACAAUCCCAUCCAUGAUUUUCCCCAUCUCCAGGCAUUUUUCAUGGAAAGCUCCUCAUGCUUUUUAAUUCCAGUUUAUCCAUUUGUGUGGCUUUAACCUCCACAUCCAGGUCUUUCUGGCUAAACUGCAGUAUAUCCACAAUGGGGCCAAUGGACACAUAAGGGAGGCCCUAUCACAGGAACACGAACACCCGGAGUCGCUAGAAAUCAGAUUCCACCGGCUUUGCUUCAGGCCGACUUCCUAAGGAAGGCAUGGUAGCAUCACAGAUGCUGUUUGUCUCAGUUUCCUGAGAAGCCAGUUUCUUAGAGCUGUCAUUCAAGAGUGGGUCAAAUUUGAGAUAUAAAAACCUUUCUCAAGGUAGACUCUUUGGCCCCUAUGCCUAGUAUGUCAGCUGGGCCUCUGAAGCUCUCCUCUUUGAGGUCCUGGCAGGCUCUGGCCCCUGUUGAGAAGGGGAAGCAGUCAUGUGAACUCAUGUGCUGGAAGAAUCCACUCUACCCCUUCCCUGGCUUCUCUGCUGCAAUUUUUGUCUUUAAACGUAUUUUCAGGUGAUUCCAGUUUGCAUACAUAAUUGAGAAAUAUAAGAUUUGGUCCCCAGUAGAGAGCCAGGUGAACUUAAGAAGGAGUCCAUCUAAGAAAAUUGCACAAUUAUCUAGUUUCACUUGGGUUUAGCUUUUAUGGCUUACUUGAUUUAGUAAUCAAAUGAUUUUCAAAUGAUUUUGAUCAGGUGACUCUUCGUAAACUAGAGAAUGAACUUGAGAGCCGAAUUAGCACAGUUUAAAAAUAAUCAUUUAGUUUUUGUUCUCUAUUGUGUAAAUUAUUGAGGUUUGACUGUCUUGGCUAAACUAAGGCUCAUCUAAUAUCUUUAUUUUUGAUAUCCUAAUUUCUUGCCAAUUAAUUGAAGGUAACAUACUAGCAGACCAGAUAACUACUUAUGCAAACCUCAGAUAACCACUAAUUUAAACAAAAUUAAAUCCUUUGCCUUCCCCAGAUCCUUUGCACAUGGCCUGCUAUCAACAAUCCUCUACAAUGAUUCUCAGCAUCACCUAGGGAGCUUAUGUAAAAUCUCAAAUUCCUGGGCCCUAUCCCCAGAGUUUCUUAUCAAGUAAGUCUGCAUUGGGAUCUGAGGAUUUGCAUCUCUAACAAAAAUUCCUAGGCGAUGCUCACACUGUUGGUGUAAGGUUUCCUUGAUGGAGAACUAUCAAAGCAGUCAAAGCUAUCAAAAUAAAAAAGAAUUCUGAUUGGGUGCAGUGGCUCACACCUGUCAUUCCAGCACUUUGAGAGGCCAAGGUGGGCAGAUCACAUGAGGCCAGGAGUUCAAGACCAGCCUGGCCAACAUGGCAGAAACCCCAUCUCUACUAAAAAUACCAAAAUUAGCCGGGCAUGGUGGAACACACCUGCAAUCCCAGCUACUCGGGAGGCUGAGGCAAGAGAAUCGCUUGAACCUGGGAGGCAGAAGUUGCAGUGAAACAAGUUGGUGCCAAUGCAUUCCAGCCUGGAUGAUGGAGCGAGACUCUGUCUCAAGAAAAAAAAAACAAAAACAAAAACAGAACUCUGCCUCAUAGCGUCUUUUAAGUUAUACACUGGACCUAUCCUUUCCUCACUGACAGACAUUUUAAAAAUUUUUUGGUAAGGCCUAGUUCAUAUAAAAUGUAAUCCAAGCCAAAAGUUAACAAGAAUAAGGGGAGGAAAGGGGACUCCAAUAGCAGAGAAAGGUAUUUACCUGGGAUAUACACUGCAAGAAAAUCAAAGCUAUAAGAAACGUCCAUGAAUAGUAGCCAUAAGGCAUCAGAGUGAUAAAAUUCCUGUCCCUAGGAGGGAAUAUUGGAGUUUGCCAGAGAAACAGAAUGAGAGAGACAGAGAGGUUUAUUGUAGGAAUUGGCUCAUAUGAUUACGGAGGCUGAGAAGACCCACGAUCUGCCAUCUGCAAGCUGGAGAAUCAGGAAAGCUGGAGGUGUAAUUCAGUCAAGUCCAAUGGCCAGAGAAGCAAGUGUACUGAUAUCCAAGAGCAGGAGAAAAUAGAUGUCCCAGAACAAGCAGAGAGGCUGAUUUUGUCCUUCCUCUGCCUUUUUGUUUCAUAUGGGGCACUGAAUGGACUGAUGCCCAUCCACAUUAGUGAGGGUGGAUCUUCUUUACUCAGUCUACCAGUAGAAAUGUCAAUGACUUCCAGAAACACCCUCACCAACACACGUGGAAAUAAUGUUUUACCAGGUAUCUGGGCAUCCCUUGGUUCACUCAAGUUGACACAAAAUUAACCAUCACAGAAGGAGACUGGCCUUACUCUGAAAUUAGGAAACUAAAGAAGUGACCAGAAUGGAGACUAGGUAGAGACAACUAGUUCUCUACCAAACAUGUACAGUUAUUCGUUGGUAUCUGAAGGGGAUUGGUUCCAGGAACUCUCAGGGAUACCAAAAUCUGCAGGUGCUCAAGUCAUUUAUAUAAAAUAUUACAGUAUUUGCAUAUAACCUUUGCACAUCUUCCAUAUACUUUAAAUCAUCUCUACAUUACUUAUAAUAAUGAAUGUGUAAAUGCUAUGAAAAUAGUUACUACACUAUUGUUUAUUUGUAUUUUUAUUGAAUUGUUUUGGGGUGGGGGGCAGCUGUAUCUUUCUUAGUAAUAGAACCCCUGGUUUUAGCUGGGCACAUGACUGCCCUCAAUAAAGAUUAAAGUACCCCAGCCUUCCUUGAGAUUGUGGCCAUGUGACUGAACUUUAGACAGUGAGAUAUAAGCAGAUAUCUUCUGUGGCAGUGUUAGGAAACUAUUAAAGACAGUAAGAACAUUGCCCUUUGCCUUCUUUUUCCUUUCUUCAUUUUUCUGCCUGGAAUGCAAAUGUGAUGGCUAACACCCUAGCAGCCAUUUUAGAUUAUGAAGAUGAGAGUCACUCCCCAGGAAGGGUGGACCUGAAAGCUGGAUUCUAGAUGUGGAAUGACAAUACCAGCCCUGGACUACCUACCUGUAGGCUGUGUGUGUGUGUGUGUGAUUGACAGAGAGAGAGAGAGAUAGAUACCACAAGUAACACAAAGCAUCAUACCUGGGACUGGGAAGGUUAAUGUUUAAACAUUUUAAAUGUGGCAUUGGUUUGUUGAAGACAGUCAAGCAGUAGGUGCUGCAGGCUUUGUUGAGGCUAGAAAGCUGUUGGUCUUUAUUAGGUGAUGGCAAAACAAUGGAUCACAUUUUCAUGUGCUGUGUCUUGGGAGGCAAAUGAUGAGAAUGUAGGAUUGGGGAAAAUGGUAAGGAAAAUCCAAAAUGUUCAUGUUUUCUAACCCCUUCUUGCCAAUCUUAAAAGAAGGACAAACAGGCUAGAUUAAGCAAGUCUACAGUUACAAUUGGAAGGAAACACAGCCGUACUAAGGAAGUACUCUGUCUGUGGCCUGCAGUCUAGUUUGACUAGGUCCUGUAUUUGAGCUUUGAAAGAGUAAAGAAUACAAGUGCUCGUAUACCCCUGAAGUAGUUACCAGCAGUGACUGCAAGGAGGUAAUCUUAUGGGAUGAAACUAUAACUCUGUAUUAACCAUCAUAUAUAGCAUAUAUGUGUAUAUGUAUGUGUGUGUGUGUAUAUGUGUAUAUAAAUAUAUGUGUGUGUAUAUACACACAUGUACACACCCUACAACCCAGUGAUUUCAAAAAAUUAAACAUUUGUUUAGCUCAUGAAUCUGUGGGUUGGGUGAACAUUUCUAUUGGUCUUGGCUGGGCUCACCUGUACCCAGUCAGCUGCAGGGUCUAGCUCUUCUUAUCUUGGCUGGGAUCUCACACAUGUCUAGGAUCAGCUGCUUUACUAGUCUAGGAUUGUCUUGGCUGAGACAGGUGGACUACUCAGUUCUCCUCCACUGCCUUAUCCUUCAGCUGGCCAGCCCAGAAAUGUUGCCAUGUUUACAGCAUAAGAGCAAGCAAGAAAGAAUAAUAUGCAACCACUUUUCCAAGCCUAAGGUGAAAGGGCGGGCAGAACCUGUGGUGUUAGGAGGCAACUCAUACCAGCCCAUGGGUCUACCGUUUAAUUUUCAGAAAUUUGGCAAGCUGAUUGUUAACACAGCUGUUGUUUAAUUUAUGUACUUGUAAUUAAAUAAUUUACAUUAAAACAAAGAUA
ensembl:lncRNA LINC00667 long intergenic non-protein coding RNA 667